rnacentral:tRNA from 1 species
AGGAACAUCCGUCGACUUU